rnacentral:rRNA from 1 species
UACGUAGGGUGCAAGCGUUGUCCGGAAUUAUUGGGCGUAAAGAGCUCGUAGGCGGCUUGUCGCGUCGGCUGUGAAAACCUGGGGCUCAACCCCGGGCCUGCAGCCGAUACGGGCAAGCUAGAAUUCGGUAGGGGCAACUGGAAUUCUCGGUGUAGCGGUGAAAUGCGUAGAUAUCGAGAGGAACACCUGCGGCGAAGGCGGGUUGCUGGGCUGACACUGACGCUGAUGCGCGAAAGCUAGGGGAGCGAACGGG